rnacentral:rRNA from 1 species
UACAGAGGUCCCGAGCGUUGUUCGGAUUUACUGGGCGUAAAGCGUGCGUAGGUGGUUUGUUAAGUCUGAUGUGAAAGCCCUGGGCUCAACCUGGGAACGGCAUUGGAAACUGGCUUACUAGAGUGCGGUAGAGGGGUGUGGAAUUCCCGGUGUAGCAGUGAAAUGCGUAGAUAUCGGGAGGAACAUCUGUGGCGAAGGCGACACCCUGGACCAGCACUGACACUGAGGCACGAAAGCGUGGGGAGCAAACAGG